rnacentral:tRNA from 1 species
GGAGUUGUGGCUCAGUGGUAGAGCACUUGCCUAGAAUGUGUGAAGCCCUGGGUUCAAUCUUCAGCAACACAU